rnacentral:rRNA from 1 species
UACGUAGGCAGCGAGCGUUGUUCGGAGUUACUGGGCGUAAAGAGUGCGUAGGCGGUUUUCUAAGUUUGGUGUGAAAUCUCCCGGCUUAACUGGGAGGGUGCGCCGAAAACUGGAAGGCUUGAGUAUGGGAGAGGUAAGCGGAAUUCCUGGUGUAGCGGUGAAAUGCGUAGAUAUCAGGAGGAACACCUGCGGUGUAGACGGCUUACUGGACCAUUUCUGACGCUGAGACACGAAAGCGUGGGUAGCAAACAGG